UACGUAGGGGGCAAGCGUUGUCCGGAUUUAUUGGGCGUAAAGAGCUCGUAGGCGGUUUGGUAAGUCGGAUGUGAAAUCUCCAGGCUCAACCUGGAGGGGUCAUUCGAUACUGCCAUGACUAGAGUUCGGUAGGGGAGUGUGGAAUUCCUGGUGGAGCGGUGAAAUGCGCAGAGAUCAGGAGGAACACCCGUAGCGAAGGCGGCACUCUGGGCCGAUACUGACGCUGAGGAGCGAAAGCGUGGGAGCG
rnacentral:rRNA from 1 species